AACGCACAUUGCGCCCCUCGGUAUUCCGGGGGGCAUGCCUGUUCGAGCGUCAUUACACCCCUCAAGCGUAGCUUGGUAUUGGGCCCCUCGCCCCCUGGGCGUCCCCGAAAGUCAUGGGUGGUCCGGAGUGACUUUAAGCGUAGUAAAUUACCUCCCGCUUUGAAAGCUCGCCCCGCGGCCGGCCCGAAAACCCCAUAAUCUAUCAGCGAUUGACCUCGGAUCAGGUAGGGAUACCCGCUGAACAUAA
rnacentral:misc_RNA from 1 species